rnacentral:rRNA from 1 species
GAUGAACGCUGGCGGCGUGCCUAAUACAUGCAAGUCGAGCGAACGGACGAGAAGCUUGCUUCUCUGAUGUUAGCGGCGGACGGGUGGGUAACAAGUGGAUAACCUACCUAUAAUAAUGGGAUAACUUCGGGAAACCGGCGCUAAUACCGGAUAAUAUUUUGAACCGCAUGGUUCAAAAGUGAAAGGCGGUCUUGCUGUCACUUAUAGAUGGAUCCGCGCUGCAUUAGCUAGUUGGUAAGGUAACGGCUUACCAAGGCAACGAUGCAUAGCCGACCGGACAGGGUGAUCGGCCACCCUGGAACUGAGACACGGUCCAGACUCCUACGGGAGGCAGCAGUAGGGAAUCUUCCGCAAUGGGCGAGAGCAUGACGGAGCAGGGCCGCGUGAGUGAUGAAGGUCUUCGGUUCGUAAAACUCUGUUAUUAGGGAAGAACAUAUGUGUACGUAACUGUGCACAACUUGACGGUACCUAAACAGAAAGCCACGGCUAACUACGUG